rnacentral:tRNA from 1 species
GGUUCCGUAGCUCAGUUGGAUAGAGCAACAGCCUUCUAAGCUGUGGGGCGUGCGUUCGAGUCGCACCGGAAUCACCA